UGACGAAGCGACGCCGCGUGGGUGAAGAAGGCCUUCGGGUUGUAAAGCCCUGUCAGGAGUUAUGAAAUGUAAGUGCGCUAAUAUCGUGCUUAUUUGACAAAGGCUCCAAAGGAAGCCACGGCUAACUCUGUGCCAGCAGCCGCGGUAAUACAGAGGUGGCGAGCGUUGUUCGGAAUUAUUGGGCGUAAAGAGCACGUAGGUGGGUUUGCAAGUCAGAUGUGAAAGCCUUCUGUUCAACGGAAGAAUUGCAUCUGAAACUGCUAAUCUUGAGUAUAGGAGGGGAGAAUGGAACUUCUGGUGGAGCGGUGAAAUGCGUAGAUAUCAGAAGGAACGCCGGCGGCGAAAGCGAUUCUCUGGCCUAUUACUGACACUCAGUGUGCGAAAGCUAGGGGAGCAAACGGGAUUAGAUACCCCGGUAGUCCUAGCCGUAAACGAUGGGCACUAAGUAGAGG
rnacentral:rRNA from 1 species